AGACACCGUCUGGCGUAGACGGGCCAACUUCAAGCAUAUUUGGUGAUGGAUGUCACUGCAACUAUCACACUGCCAAGCGAGGUACAAGGGGCAGAUCGACCCAACAAAACGCUGCGGUAAAGGCAGAUUCAGCGGAGUAGCUCAAAAGGUACUCAGCCUUCUCAAAAUUGUUGAAGAAUAAA